CAGGGAUUGCCUUAGUAACGGCGAGUGAAGCGGCAACAGCUCAAAUUUGAAAUCUGGCCCUCGGGUCCGAAUUGUAAUUUGUAGAGGAUGAUUUUGGUGCGGUAUCUUCCGAGUUCCUUGGAACAGGACGCCUUAGAGGGUGAGAGCCCCGUACGGUUGAAUGCCUAGCCUUUGUAAAUCUCCUUCGACGAGUCGAGUAGUUUGGGAAUGCUGCUCUAAAUGGGAGGUAAAUUUCUUCUAAAGCUAAAUAUUGGCCAGAGACCGAUAGCGCACAAGUAGAGUGAUCGAAAGAUGAAAAGCACUUUGAAAAGAGGGUUAAAUAGCACGUGAAAUUGUUGAAAGGGAAGGAUUUGUGACCAGACUUUUUCUGGGCGGAUCAUCCGGGGUUCUCUCCGGUGCACUUUGCCCAGUAAAGGCCAGCAUCGAUUUUCGGCGGCGGAUAAAAGCAGUGGGAAUGUGGCUCUCUACGGGGAGUGUUAUAGCCCAUUGUAUAAUACGCUGCUGGGGAUCGAGGUACGCGCUUCUGCAAGGAUGCUGGCGUAAUGGUUAUCAAUCACCCGUCUUGAAACACGGACCAAGGAGUCGAACAUUUGUGCAAGUGUUUGGGUGUUAAACCCUCACGCGUAAUGAAAGUGAACGGAGGUGAGAGCCCGCAAGGGUGCAUCAUCGACCGAUCCUGAAGUUUUCGGAUGGAUUUGAGUAAGAGCAUAACUGUUCGGACCCGAAAGAUGGUGAACUAUGCGUGGAUAGGGUGAAGCCAGAGGAAACUCUGGUGGAGGCUCGCAGCGGUUCUGACGUGCAAAUCGAUCGUCAAAUCUGCGCAUGGGGGCGAAAGACUAAUCGA
rnacentral:rRNA from 1 species